rnacentral:lncRNA from 1 species
GGCCUAUCUAAUUAAUUCCUGAAGAGGUAACUUCCUCCUUCCAUUAUUGUCACUUUGUGCACCUAUCGUAACCCGCACUUUUCUAACAAGUCCAUCCUUAUCUACAUGUGCUGUGUUUAUCUUCCCAAGAUGCCACUGAUUUCGUGCGGCUUGUUCAUCUUUGAUCAUUACUAUAUCGCCGACUUGCAAAUUUCGUCUCGGAGCAGUCCACUUCUUUCUAGAUUAUAGAUUAAACAAAUACUCCUUUCUCCAUCUAUUCCAAAACUCGUUUGCUAAGAACUGAACUCGCCUCCAGCGUUUUCGAGAGUAAAUAUCACUUCUUUGAAAUUGUCC